UACGGAGGAUGCAAGCGUUAUCCGGAAUGAUUGGGCGUAAAGCGUCCGCAGGUGGCUAUGUAAGUCUGCUGUUAAAGAGUGAGGCUCAACCUCAUAAGAGCAGUGGAAACUACAUGGCUAGAGUGCGUUCGGGGCAGAGGGAAUUCCUGGUGUAGCGGUGAAAUGCGUAGACAUCAGGAAGAACACCGGUGGCGAAAGCGCUCUGCUAGGCCGCAACUGACACUGAGGGACGAAAGCUAGGGGAGCGAAUGGG
rnacentral:rRNA from 1 species